rnacentral:rRNA from 1 species
UACGUAGGGCGCAGGCGUAUCCGGAAUUAUUGGGCGUAAAGAGCUCGUAGGCGGUUUGUCGCGUCUGCCGUGAAAGUCCAGGGCUCAACCCUGGACCUGCAGUGGGUACGGGCAGACUAGAGUGCGGUAGGGGAGAUCGGAAUUCCUGGUGUAGCGGUGAAAUGCGCAGAUAUCGGGAGGAACACCGGCGGCGAAGGCGGGUCUCUGGGCCGUAACUGACGCUGAGGAGCGAAAGCGGUGGGGAGCGAACGAG